ACUUAAAGUCAUACCACCCGGAAUACACCUGAUCCUGUCCGAUGACUGGCCUCGUUAGUUCUUGGAUGGGAGACUGCCUGGGAACAGCAGGUGCUGUAAGCU
rnacentral:rRNA from 1 species